AAUCAACGCUGGCGGCGUGCCUCAGACAUGCAAGUCGAACGAUUAAAGCUCUCUUCGGAGAGUGUAUAGAGUGGCGCACGGGUGAGUAACACGUAAGUAAUCUACCUUCGAGUGGGGAAUAACGUCCGGAAACGGACGCUAAUACCGCAUAAUGCAGCGGCAUCGCAAGAUGACAGUUGUUAAAGAUUUAUCGCUUGAAGAGGAGCUUGCGGCAGAUUAGCUAGUUGGUAAGGUAAUGGCUUACCAAGGCUACGAUCUGUAACCGGUCUAAGAGGACGGUCGGUCACACUGACACUGAAUAACGGGUCAGACUCCUACGGGAGGCAGCAGUCGGGAAUUUUGGGCAAUGGGCGAAAGCCUGACCCAGCAACGCCGCGU
rnacentral:rRNA from 1 species